rnacentral:rRNA from 1 species
GACGAACGCUGGCGGCGUGCCUAAUACAUGCAAGUUGAGCGCUGAAGGUUGGUACUUGUACCAACUGGAUGAGCAGCGAACGGGUGAGUAACGCGUGGGGAAUCUGCCUUUGAGCGGGGGACGACAUUUGGAAACGAAUGCUAAUACCGCAUAAAAACUUUAAACACAAGUUUUAAGUUUGAAAGAUGCAAUUGCAUCACUCAAAGAUGAUCCCGCGUUGUAUUAGCUAGUUGGUGAGGUAAAGGCUCACCAAGGCGAUGAUACAUAGCCGACCUGAGAGGGUGAUCGGCCACAUUGGGACUGAGACACGGCCCAAACUCCUACGGGAGGCAGCAGUAGGGAAUCUUCGGCAAUGGACGAAGGUCUGACCGAGCAACGCCGCGUGAGUGAAGAAGGGUUUCGGAUCGUAAAACUCUGUUGGUAGAGAAGAACGUUGGUGAGAGUGGAAAGCUCAUCAAGUGACGGUAACUACCCAGAAAGGGACGGCUAACUACGUG